GGUGGAAGAGAGCUGUUAAGAGACCACGAUUAGCCAUCAGGUGAGGCCACGGGGCCUGGCGUGGCCAAGGCAGAUCGAGACGCUCCCUCCGGAGCUCUUCCAGUGCCGGAAGCUGCGGGCCCUGCACCUGGGCAACAACGUGCUGCAGUCACUGCCCUCCAGGGUGGGCGAGCUGACCAACCUGACGCAGAUCGAGCUGCGGGGCAACCGGCUGGAGUGCCUGCCUGUGGAGCUGGGCGAGUGCCCACUGCUCAAGCGCAGCGGCUUGGUGGUGGAGGAGGACCUGUUCAACACACUGCCACCCGAGGUGAAGGAGCGGCUGUGGAGGGCUGACAAGGAGCAGGCCUGAGCGAGGCCGGCCCAGCACAGCAAGCAGCAGGACCGCUGCCCAGUCCUCAGGCCCGGAGGGGCAGGCCUAGCUUCUCCCAGAACUCCCGGACAGCCAGGACAGCCUCGUGGCUGGGCAGGAGCCUGGGGCCGCUUGUGAGUCAGGCCAGAGCGAGAGGACAGUAUCUGUGGGGCUGGCCCCUUUUCUCCCUCUGAGACUCACGUCCCCCAGGGCAAGUGCUUGUGGAGGAGAGCAAGUCUCAAGAGCGCAGUAUUUGGAUAAUCAGGGUCUCCUCCCUGGAGGCCAGCUCUGCCCCAGGGGCUGAGCUGCCACCAGAGGUCCUGGGACCCUCACUUUAGUUCUUGGUAUUUAUUUUUCUCCAUCUCCCA
rnacentral:lncRNA from 1 species